rnacentral:rRNA from 1 species
CCUGGUUGAUCCUGCUAGUAGUCAUAUGUUUGUCUCAAAGAUUAAGCCAUGCAUGUCUAAGUAUGAACUAAUUCAAACUGUGAAACUACGGAUGGCUCAUUAAAUCAGUUAUAGUUUUUUUUAUGGUACCAUACUACUCUGAUAACUGUAGUAAUUCUAGAGCUAAUACAUGCACCAAGUCUCGACUCUUUGGAAGGGAUGCAUUUUUUAGAUAAAAGGCUAGCACGGGCUUGCCGACUUCUCCACUGAAUCAUGAUAAAUCAACAGAUAGCACAACCCUUGUGCUAGCGAUGCUUCAUUCAAAUUUCUGCCCUAUCAACUUUUGAUGUUAGGAUAGAGGCCUACCAUGGUGGUGAUGGAUGAUGGAGAAUUAGGUUUCGAUUCUGGAGAGGGAGCCUGAGAAAAAGCUACCACAUCCAAGGAAGGAAAAAGGCAUGCAAAUUACCCAACUUGACAUGGGGAGGUAGUGACAAUAAAUAAGAAUACUGGGCUCAUUGAGUCUAGUAAUUGGAAUGAGUACAAUAUAAAUCCCUUAACGAGGAUUCAUUGGAGGGCAAGUCUGGUGCCAAUAGUCACGGUAAUUCCAGCUCCAAUAGAGUAUAUUUAAGUUGUUGCAGUUAAAAAGCUCGUAGUUGGAUCUUGGGUCAUAAAGGUCGGUCCACCUACUCGAUGUGCACAUUCCCUUUCAUCCCUUUUGUUGGCGGCAUGCUCCCGGCCUUAAUUGGUUGGGUCGUGGCUUCAGUGCUAUUACUUUGAAAAAAUUAGAGUGCUCAAAGCAAGCUUAUGCUCAUAAUACAUUAGCAUGGAAUAAUGUGAUAGGAUCUGGUCUUAUCGUGUUGGCCUUCGGGACCAGAGUAAUGAUUAAUAGGGACUGUUAGGGGCACUCGUAUUUCAUUGUUAGAGGUGAAAUUCUUGGAUUUAUGAAAGAUGGACCACUAUGAAAUCAUUUUCCAAGGAUGUUCUCAUUAGUCAAGAACAAAAGUUGGGGGCUCAAAGACGAUCAGAUAUUGUCCUAGUCUCAACCAUAAACGAUGCCUACCAGGGAUCGUCGGAUGUUUCUCUAAGGACUCCGCCGGCACCUUCUGAGAAAUAAAAGUGUUUUGGUUCUGGGGGAGUAUGGUCACAAGGUUGAAACUUAAAGGAAUUGACAGAAGGGAACCACGAGGAGUGGAGCCUAUGGCUUCAUUUGUUUCAACACGGGGAAACUUACCAGGUUGAGACAUAGUAAGGAUUGAUAGAUUAAGAGCUCUUUCCUGAUUCUAUGGGUGGUGGUGCAUGCUUGUUCUUAGUUGGUGGAGCGAUUUGUCUGGUUAAUUCUGAUAACAAACAAGACCUCAGCCUGCUAACUAGCUACGUGGAGGUUCCCCUUCAUGGCUAGCUUCUUAGAGGGACUAUGGCCAUUUAGGCCAUGGAAGUUUGAGGCAAUAACAGGUCUAUGAUGCCCUUAGAUGUUCUGGGCUACACGCAUGGUACACUGAUGCAACAAAUGAGUUUUUCUUCCUAGUUCGAGAGGAUCGGGAAAUCUUCUCAAAUUUCAUUGUGAUGGGGAUAGACCAUUACAAUUAUUGGUCUUCAACAAGGAAUUCCUAGUAAGCACGCAUCAUCAAAUCGUGUUGACUACGUCCCUUCCCUUUGUACACACCACCCAUCACUCCUACCAAUUGAAUGAUCUGGUGAAGUGUUCGGAUUGCGUCGAUGAUAGUGGUUCGCCGGCAUUGACAUCAUGAGAAGUUCAUUGAAUCUUAUCAUUUAGAGGAAGGAGAAGUCGUAACAAGGUUACCGUAGGUGAACUUGCAGUAG